CCUACGGGUGGCUGCAGUGGGGAAUAUUGCGCAAUGGGCGCAAGCCUGACCCAGCAACGCCGCGUGAAGGAAGAAGGCUUUCGGGUUGUAAACUUCUUUUGUCAGGGAAGAAUAAAAGACGGUUCCUGUCGGAUAAGCCAACGCUAACUACCUUCCAGCAGCCCCGGUAAUACGGAGGUGGCAACCGUUGUCCGGAAUUAAUGGGUGUAAAGGGCGGGUAGGCGGGUUGGCAAGUCAGAUGUGAAAUCCUGCGGCUUAACCGGAGAAGUGCAUUUGAAACUGUUGAUCUUGAGUGAUGGAGAGGCAGGCGGAAUUCCUGGUGUAGCGGUGGAAUGCGUAGAUAUCAGGAGGAACACCAGUGGCGAAGGCGGCCUGCUGGACAGCAACUGACGCUGAGGCGCGAAAGCGUGGGGAGCAAACAGGAUUAGAUACCCGAGUAGUC
rnacentral:rRNA from 1 species